rnacentral:rRNA from 1 species
UACGUAGGGUGCAAGCGUUGUCCGGAAUUAUUGGGCGUAAAGAGCUCGUAGGCGGUCUGUCGCGUCGGCUGUGAAAACACGGGGCUCAACUCCGUGCCUGCAGUCGAUACGGGCAGACUAGAGUUCGGUAGGGGAGACUGGAAUUCCUGGUGUAGCGGUGAAAUGCGCAGAUAUCAGGAGGAACACCGGUGGCGAAGGCGGGUCUCUGGGCCGAAACUGACGCUGAGGAGCGAAAGCGUGGGGAGCAAACAGG